GAUCAUGGCUCAGGAUGAACGCUAGCUACAGGCUUAACACAUGCAAGUCGAGGGGCAGCAUGGUCUUAGCUUGCUAAGGCCGAUGGCGACCGGCGCACUGGUGAGUAACACGUAUCCAACCUGCCGUCUACUCUUGGACAGCCUUCUGAAAGGAAGAUUAAUACAAUAUGGCAUCAUGAGUUCACAUGUUCACAUGAUUAAAGGUAUUCCGGUAGACGAUGGGG
rnacentral:rRNA from 1 species